CCGGCACGGGUGAGUAACACGUAUCCAACCUGCCGUCUACUCUUGGACAGCCUUCUGGAAGGAAGAUUAAUACAAGAUGGCAUCAUGAGUUCACAUGUUCACAUGAUUAAAGGUAUUCCGGUAGACGAUGGGGAUGCGUUCCAUUAGAUAGUAGGCGGGGUAACGGCCCACCUAGUCUUCGAUGGAUAGGGGUUCUGAGAGGAAGGUCCCCCACAUUGGAACUGAGACACGGUCCAA
rnacentral:rRNA from 1 species